rnacentral:rRNA from 1 species
GCAGGGAAUCUUGCGCAAUGGGCGAAAGCCUGACGCAGCAACGCCGCGUGGGGGAUGAAGGCCUUCGGGUUGUAAACCCCUUUCAGGAGGGAAGAAAUUGACGGUACCUCCAAAAGAAGCCCCGGCCAACUACGUGCCAGCAGCCGCGGUAAUACGUAGGGGGCGAGCGUUGUCCGGAAUCAUUGGGCGUAAAGAGCUCGUAGGCGGUUCAGUAAGUCGGCUGUGAAAUUCCGAGGCUCAACCUCGGAACUGCAGUCGAAACUAUUGUGACUCGAGUCCGGUAGAGGAGAAUGGAAUUCCCGGUGUAGCGGUGAAAUGCGCAGAUAUCGGGAGGAACACCAGUAGCGAAGGCGGUUCUCUGGGCCGGUACUGACGCUGAGGAGCGAAAGCGUGGGUAGCAAACAGGAUUAGAUACCCGAGUAGUCC